GCGCGGUUAGCUCAGUUGGUUAGAGCGCCACCUUGACACGGUGGAGGUCAGAGGUUCGAAUCCUCUACCGCGCA
rnacentral:tRNA from 1 species